GUAGCUGGUCUGAGAGGACGGCCAGCCACACUGGGACUGAGACACGGCCCAGACUCCUACGGGAGGCAGCAGUGGGGAAUAUUGGACAAUGGGGGCAACCCUGAUCCAGCAAUGCCGCGUGUGUGAAGAAGGCCUGAGGGUUGUAAAGCACUUUCAGUGGGGAGGAGGGUUUGAUUGGUUAAGAGCUGAUUAGGUUGACGCUACCCACAGAAGAAGCACCGGCUAACUCCGUGCCAGCAGCCGCGGUAAUACGGAGGGUGCGAGCGUUAAUCGGAAUUACUGGGCGUAAAGGGUGCGUAGGUGGUUUAAUAAGUUAUGUGUAAAAUACCCGGGCUCAACCUGGGGAGGUCAGAUAAUACUGUUAGACUUGAGUAUGG
rnacentral:rRNA from 1 species